UUCCAGCACCCCGAGUGGUCGGGACGUUUAUUGGGCCUAAAGCAUCCGUAGCCGGUUCUACAAGUCUUCCGUUAAAUCCACCUGCUCAACAGAUGGGCUGCGGAAGAUACUAUGGAGCUAGGAGGCGGGAGAGGCAAGCGGUACUCGAUGGGUAGGGGUAAAAUCCGUUGAUCCAUUGAAGACCACCAGUGGCGAAGGCGGCUUGCCAGAACGCGCUCGACGGUGAGGGAUGAAAGCUGGGGGAGCAAACCGG
rnacentral:rRNA from 1 species